AACAAAGGAAAAGGCUCUGGAGUUUGAGGCAAGUUUGGUUCAGAAAGUUGCUGACGCUCACAGUGAUGUCAACGAUGAUACAAGCAGUAAAAGGAAACGGAACCCAUCCCAGAAAGUGAGGGAAAAUGUACGGGACCAAGAUGAUAAUGAGGACAGAGAGAGAGCAGAGACUUCCAGAGAUCAAGGGAAGGGUGAUAAAG